AUCCAAUAUCCCGGCGUGGAACAUUUCCUCGGGGAUCCAAGUGCCCUCCCGUAACCGCUGAAAGUCACCCCAUCUGCUGAGCAGCCAGAAGCAAGCUGAUGAUGCCAGUAGCCAGUCACCCCGUCUGCUCGGGGCCAGACAUGGAGGAGUGGGGACGGACAUGUCCCACCCUCGUCUAGGUCAUGGGAUGCUGGCCGAAGGCCCCUGGCAUGGGAACUGCUCCGGGCCAGGGGUUGUGGAGGGCUGGACAGGAAAGGAAUGAGGAUCGCCUCCACCACUACAGCCUCAGGAGGGUGGGGAGGCUGGAUGCGUGCCACUUUAACGAGUGUGUAUUUACCAAAUGGAUAAAUUCUGCGCAAUGCUUUGCAUUCCAAAUAACUUGCCACCAGGUCCCUUGUGAGUCUCCACCUGCCUAGACUGUGAGCUUCCUAAGGGCUGGAUCACCCCUGCAACCCUAGCACCUGGCAUACUACCUGACCCCUAACACGCAUGGAUGCCUAAGGAGUGAGUUCCUCCGACACCUGGAGAACGAGAUGCAGAGGCUCGCCGGGAGCCCCAGUGCCCUGCAUGCCAAUGGCACACAUCUUCUCCAAACACAGCCUCUCUCUAAAGAGCUGCCUCAAAUCAGCCAUGCCUUGCCCUGACAGCUGUUUCCUUCCCCUGCAAAGACCCUCGAAAGAUCUCUUGGCUGUGAUUUGAUUUGAGCUCUUCUGGAAGGUCCUAUAGAGGGCCUUAUCUAGGUUGUUGAAUCUUUUUCAGCAUCUGGAAACGGGGGACAGAAACAAAUGGGAGUGUGUCUAGGGGGCGGCAGGCAUCAUGGCCCCCCUUCCCAGGCCAGGGCCCACCUGUGGCAAAGGAGGCCCCAAAUAAUAGCCAUCCUGGUUUUCUUGCA
rnacentral:lncRNA from 1 species